rnacentral:rRNA from 1 species
CUACGGGAGGCAGCAGUGAGGAAUAUUGGUCAAUGGGCGUAAGCCUGAACCAGCCAAGUCGCGUGAGGGAUGAAGGUUCUAUGGAUCGUAAACCUCUUUUAUAAGGGAAUAAAGUGCGGGACGUGUCCCGUUUUGUAUGUACCUUAUGAAUAAGGAUCGGCUAACUCCGUGCCAGCAGCCGCGGUAAUACGGAGGAUCCGAGCGUUAUCCGGAUUUAUUGGGUUUAAAGGGUGCGUAGGCGGCCUUUUAAGUCAGCGGUGAAAGUCUGUGGCUCAACCAUAGAAUUGCCGUUGAAACUGGGAGGCUUGAGUAUGUUUGAGGCAGGCGGAAUGCGUGGUGUAGCGGUGAAAUGCUUAGAUAUCACGCAGAACCCCGAUUGCGAAGGCAGCCUGCCAAGCCAUGACUGACGCUGAUGCACGAAAGCGUGGGGAUCAAACAGGAUUAGAUACCCUGGUAGUCCACGCAGUAAACGAUGAUCACUAGCUGUUUGCGAUACACAGUAAGCGGCACAGCGAAAGCGUUAAGUGAUCCACCUGGGGAGUACGCCGGCAACGGUGAAACUCAAAGGAAUUGACGGGGGCCCGCACAAGCGGAGGAACAUGUGGUUUAAUUCGAUGAUACGCGAGGAACCUUACCCGGGUUUGAACGCAUUCGGACCGAGGUGGAAACACCUUUUCUAGCAAUAGCCGUUUGCGAGGUGCUGCAUGGUUGUCGUCAGCUCGUGCCGUGAGGUGUCGGCUUAAGUGCCAUAACGAGCGCAACCCUUGCCACUAGUUACUAACAGGUGAUGCUGAGGACUCUGGUGGGACUGCCAGCGUAAGCUGCGAGGAAGGCGGGGAUGACGUCAAAUCAGCACGGCCCUUACAUCCGGGGCGACACACGUGUUACAAUGGCGUGGACAAAGGGAAGCCACCUGGCGACAGGGAGCGAAUCCCCAAACCACGUCUCAGUUCGGAUCGGAGUCUGCAACCCGACUCCGUGAAGCUGGAUUCGCUAGUAAUCGCGCAUCAGCCAUGGCGCGGUGAAUACGUUCCCGGGCCUUGUACACACCGCCCGUCAAGCCAUGGGAGCCGGGGGUACCUGAAGUCCGUAACCGCGAGGAUCGGCCUAGGGUAAAACUGGUGACUGGGGCUAAGUCGUAACAAGUUAGCCGUACCGGAAGGUGCGGCUG